rnacentral:rRNA from 1 species
AGAAUCAACGCUGGCGGCGUGCCUAACACAUGCAAGUCGCACGAGAAAGGGACUUCGGUCCUGAGUACAGUGGCGCACGGGUGAGUAACACGUGAAUAAUCUACCUCCGAGUGGGGAAUAACUGAGAGAAAUCUUAGCUAAUACCGCAUAACACUUACGAGUCAAAGCAGCAAUGCGCUUGGAGAGGAGUUCGCGGCAGAUUAGUUAGUUGGCGGGGUAAUGGCCCACCAAGACGAUGAUCUGUAUCCGGCCUGAGAGGGCGCACGGACACACUGGAACUGAAACACGGUCCAGACUCCUACGGGAGGCAGCAGUGGGGAAUUUGCGCAAUGGGGGAAACCCUGACGCAGCAACGCCGCGUGGAGGAUGAAAUAUCUUGGUAUGUAAACUCCUUUCGAUGGGAAGAUAAUGACGGUACCCAUAGAAGAAGCCCCGGCUAACUCGUGCCAGCAGCCGC